CUCUGAAGAGCUUCCUAAGCUUGUAAGAAAGUGAUUCUGAAAAGCUCAACAUUUUGGUAGAAUGGAGAGAUUUGACAUUGCUUCUGCUCCAAAAGCAAAAGACUUGGCCCAGAAGCUAAAAAUCACCUGCCAUCUUGGAAAUAAUCCCUGGAGGAUCAAGUCCAAGGGGGAGAAGUGGACUGGUCACCCCAGCCGAGGUUAUCUAAGUUCCAUGGCUUACUCCAGACAGGAAGCCCCACAUCCUGCAGCCUCAUUCAUAAUCCAUAAUAGAUGGUGUUCUUGGAUCCCAAGUUGAGAAAAGAAGUUAACUAUGCACAUUUUGGCAAAGAUGCAGACCAGGGUUUGAUCUAAGCAGCUAUCACAUAAAAUAAUAAAGUACAAAUGGAAAUGGCAAAAA
rnacentral:lncRNA from 1 species